rnacentral:misc_RNA from 1 species
AAGUCGUAACAAGGUAUCCGUAGGUGAACCUGCGGAUGGAUCAUUAUCAUAUACUAUCCAAUGUAUAAACCAAUCUAUGUGAACUGUUUUAAGUUGCCUUUGAGGUAUCGAUGGAGUAAUGCAGGGAUGUUUUGAUCGUUAAGUGAAAGUCAAACUCUCUGAUUCAUUGCUUUUUUUGUUUCUUAACUGAAACAAAAAAAUUAAUGGCUCUAUCUCUCAAAGUGUAUUUCAUUAUUUCACUUUCUAUUAACCAAUUAAACCAAAAUAUUUUAUAUUUUAUUUCUAUGUGUGAACUGAAUUGUUUUCUUACUCUAAUUUGUAAUAAAAUUGGAGAAGAAAAUUCAAUUUACGAAACAUAAAGAACAACUCUUAGCAACGGAUAUCUUGGUUCUC